rnacentral:lncRNA from 1 species
GUGGAGGUUUGCGUAGACCUUAGUGGUUGCGAGCACGAACGAGCAGCCAAGCUCCGAGAGCAACAGCGUGCUACUGCUGCCUGACAACGGAUUUAUGUUUCCUAUACAGCGCCUGGGAGUUUCGUGAGGAAACAUAGAUUCAAAAUAUCUGCAAAGUCAAGCCAGACAUUUAAUUUCAGAUUCUUAUAUGUUUUAGAUUUUUUUAAUUUAUUAAUAAAAUGAUCAGUUUUUAAAUGGGGUUACAUAAAUAGACGGGCGCAGGUAAGAAGCACAUCUUUAUCACCACCUGUUCUUUAGGAUGGCCCAAAAUUAAAAGAUGGAAAAGAUAAUACCAAAUGUUGGCAAGGAUGCAGAGCAACUGGACCUCUGUUAUGUUGGUGGUGGUAAUGCAAAAUGGUACAACCACUUUGGAAAACUUAACAAUCUCUCCUUAUAAUCAUAUACUUAUCAUUCGAUCCAGUAAUCUACGAAUUUACUUAGGAACAAAAACAUAUUCAUACAAAGGCUUGUACGUUAAUGUUCAUACCAGCUUUGUUUUGCUUUGUUUUUGUUUUUGUUUGAGACAGAGUGUCACUCUUGUCGCCCCUGCUAGAGUGCAGUGACCUGAUCUCGGCUCAUUGCAACCUCUGCCUUUCAGGUUCAAGCAAUUCUCGUGCCUCAGUCUCCCGAGUAGCUGGGAUUACAGGCGCCUGCCCCCACACCAGGCUGUUUUUUGUAUUUUUAGUAGAGAUGGGGUUUCACCAUGUUGGUCAGGCUGAUCUCAAACUCCUGACCUCGUGAUCUGCCCACCUCAGCCUCCCAGAGUGCUGGGAUUACAGGUAUGAGCCACCGUGCCUGGCCCAGCUUUGUUUUUAAUCAUCAAAAACUACAGACAACCCAAAUGUCCAUCAACUGUUGAAUAAAAACAAUUUGUGGCAUAUCCAUACAAUGUAAUGAAUGUAAUUAUCAAUAAACAGGGAUAAACUACUUGACAUACAACAUGAAUGAAUUUCAAAAAUAUAUUGAGUAAAAGAAAUCAGGCUGAGCUUGGUAGCUGGUAGCUCAUGCGUGUAAUCCCAACACUUUGGGAGGCUGGCAGUGGAGAGGUCGGGUUGGAGACUAGCCUGACCAAUAUGGUGAAAUCCUGUCUCUACUAAAAAUACAAAAAAAUUAGCCAGGCAUGGUGGCGUGCGCCUGUAAUCCCAGCCACUUGGGAGGCUGAGACAGGGGAAUCCCUUGAACUCAGGAGGCAGAGGUUGCUGUGACCCGAGAUGGUGCCAUUGCACUCCAA